rnacentral:misc_RNA from 1 species
AAGUCGUAACAAGGUUUCCGUAGGUGAACCUGCGGAAGGAUCAUUAUCAUAAUUAUCCGAAAACUUUUUUUUUAAAUAUUUUUCCCUCACCGGAAUAUAUUUAAAAAAAAAUAUCAACCAACCGUGAACUGUUUUGCCUCCAACAAGGGAGAGAACGUGCGGGUGAUGCUGCACUGGUAUUUUUCUUGUUGGUUGUAUUUUUUUUUUCUUUUGAUUUUUUUUCUAAUAAAAAAAAUUAAUUAUUAACCUUUCUAACAAAAACAUUUUAAACUUAAUUUUUGAACUGAAUUAAUUUUCUUUUUCCUGUUAAUUUACUUACGGGAAAACUAAAAUAAAAAUACGAAAAAUUAAAUUGAACAACUCUUAGCAACGGAUAUCUUGGUUCUC